AAUAAAGUGCCUGAAAAAGGUUUAUUUUGAUAGAAUAUUAUAUGUAAAUUUUAUUUACCUUUAUUG
rnacentral:tRNA from 2 species